UACAGAGGGUGCGAGCGUUAAUCGGAAUUACUGGGCGUAAAGCGUGCGUAGACGGUUAUUUACGUCGGAUGUGAAAGCCCCGGGCUCAACCUGGGAAUUGCAUUCGAGACUGAAUAGCUAGGGUGCGGUAGAGGGAAGCGGAAUUUCCGGUGUAGCGGUGAAAUGCGUAGAUAUCGGAAGGAACAUCAGUGGCGAAAGCGGCUUCCUGGACCAGCACCGACGUUCAGGCACGAAAGCGUGGGGAGCAAACAGG
rnacentral:rRNA from 1 species